UACGUAGGGCGCAAGCGUUAUCCGGAAUUAUUGGGCGUAAAGAGCUCGUAGGCGGUUUGUCGCGUCUGCCGUGAAAGUCCGGGGCUCAACUCCGGAUCUGCGGUGGGUACGGGCAGACUAGAGUGAUGUAGGGGAGACUGGAAUUCCUGGUGUAGCGGUGGAAUGCGCAGAUAUCAGGAGGAACACCGGUGGCGAAGGCGGGUCUCUGGGCCGUUACUGACGCUGAGGAGCGAAAGCGUGGGGAGCGAACAGG
rnacentral:rRNA from 1 species